UACGUAGGAGGCAAGCGUUGUCCGGAAUUACGUGGGCGUAAAGCGCGUGUAGGUGGUGGGACAAGUCUGCUGUGAAAGCGCCUGGCUUAACCGGCGAGGUCGGCGGAAACUGUCCGACUCGAGGACGGUAGAGGGGGGUGGAAUUCCGCGUGUAGCAGUGAAAUGCGUAGAGAUGCGGAGGAACACCGAUGGCGAAAGCACUCUGCUGGGCCGACACUGACACUGAGAGACGAAAGGCUAGGGGAGCGAAUGGG
rnacentral:rRNA from 1 species